GACGAACGCUGGCGGCGUGCUUAACACAUGCAAGUCGAACGGAAAGGCCCUGCUUUUGUGGGGUGCUCGAGUGGCGAACGGGUGAGUAACACGUGAGUAACCUGCCCUUGACUUUGGGAUAACUUCAGGAAACUGGGGCUAAUACCGGAUAGGAGCUCCUGCUGCAUGGUGGGGGUUGGAAAGUUUCGGCGGUUGGGGAUGGACUCGCGGCUUAUCAGCUUGUUGGUGGGGUAGGGGCUUACCAAGGCUUUGACGGGUAGCCGGCCUGAGAGGGUGACCGGCCACAUUGGGACUGAGAUACGGCCCGGACUCCUACGGGAGGCAGCGGUGGGGAAUAUGGCACAAUGGGCGGAAGCCUGAUGCAGCAACGCCGCGGGCGGGAUGACGGCCUUCGGGUUGUAAACCGCUUUCACCUGUGACGAAGCGUGAGUGACGGUAAUGGGUAAAGAAGCACCGGCUAACUACGUG
rnacentral:rRNA from 1 species